AGCAGCAAGCCUGUCGCACUCACCUGGCUACGGGACUCCGCAAAAUCCUCUGCAGAUACUCAACUAUGGCUCAUGAAUUGCAAGCAUUUGCUCCCAGAAUCCCAGUGAGCGGAAUUUUCCAGACCUCGUCUUCCCUACACCAGCACCUGGACCCACUUAAGAGCUAUUCCGGGGUGGAAACCCGGGACCCCAGUGUCUGUGGACAAUGACGUCGUCGCAUGCGUCGCGUCCUCCGAGGGGAGCGGUAACACUACACAUUUGUCAUCCAAGCAACCGACAGCAUUUUAAACCCACGUCCUCCAAGUGGUGCCUGCUUUUUUUUUAACAUCUCACAACAUCGCCUGCCAGAACUCGCUGCAGAAACCGGCGGACAAAGUUAAGCGCAAGUACCACCGAAGGGCUGCAACGUCUUUCAAGUUGUAAGAAUUCUUUAUAUAUCCUGAAUCCAAGUUCUAUGUCAGAAUACCUACAAGAUGACAACACUGGGAAACACAGUGGAGAAUGAAUGAGAAAAAGUCCCUACCUCAUGGAAUCACCUACUGCUAUGUGGAGAAUAGAUCAUGGAGUUUGCAGCAGGACAAGAGUGAUGACAGGAGGACCUAUAAGAUUCAGUUGUCAGCUGUAACUGCUGGAAAUGCUACAAUUCUUGAACUUGCUGGGCCAGACCCAAGGACAGCU